rnacentral:rRNA from 1 species
CCCUUAGAUGUUCUGGGCCGCACGCGCACUACACUGAUGCAUUCAACGAGUCUAAAACCUGCUCUGAUAGGGGUGGGUAAUCUUUUGAAUGUGCAUCGUGAUUGGGAUAGAUGAUUGCAAUUUUUCAUCUUCAACGAGGAAUGCCUAGUAAACGCAAGUCAUCAGCUUGCAUUGAUUACGUCCCUGCCCUUUGUACACACCGCCCGUCGCUCCUACCGAUUGAAUGAUCCGAUGAAUAUCAUGGAUUGAGGAUGCAAGUAGGUUCGCCUAUCUUCAUCUUCGAGAAGUGAAGUAAAUCUUAUCAUUUAGAGGAAGGAGAAGUCGUAACA